UGUCCGACGAGAUAUGUGGAUCUCCGGCGACCCUGCAUUACCCACUGACCACUUGAACCGUCGUUGCAGGCUUUCUGGCAGCCCUUAACACUCUGGUUGUCUCUCCCUUUCGUGCACCGGAUACAAAAAUAACAUCAUCGCCGACCACGAGCAUCGUCACAACCGAGAACCCAAAUAAAGUUUACAAGAUCGGUUACAAGUUACAAAUAAUGUCGAUAUUCGUAUGUUUGGAUCUGCUUAUGAAUCACAGCCAUGAAGGUGUAUUUGUGCGAGAUCUUUUCUUCAAUAGGAUCCUAUGGCGAUUAUCUCUAUCAUUGUUAGAAUUGGUGGUCUCGGAAUUAUACAUUUGGAUUUUGUAUAAUGGUUACGGAUGUGGCCGGUGAACAAUAUGUGAAUGAAGAAAAGUACGUCAAAAUCAAUCUGGAAAAUGAUAUUUAUUAAAAAAAAAACUAUAUUGUAAGUUGUUGAACUAUGAUAGAGAGAUAGUUUAGAUCAUAAUGUUUGUCAACAAGGAUAAGGUUGUUUGUGAACGAAGAUGACUCAUGUUUAAUGGCGUUAUGAUGAGUCAUAUGUUGAUCCUCUAGUAGGAGAGCUUCUCGUAGAAUACGAGGAAUAUUACAGGAGGUCCAGUUGCACGGGAAGACAUGGCACUGAAGGUUUGGUACUUACCAUCGUACAAGCUGAUUAGGAUCAACAGCAGAUUAAGAUGACAGAAACCCGACAAUUUAGGCGUCCGCUUAUAAAGGUGCCAUGGGACGUAAGCGCAAUUAAUCUAUACAAAAGGGCUGAUGGCAUUGAAAGAUGGUGGGACGUCGUCUUGGUCAUACACGCACACUUGCCUUAUAUAGAUCCUCCAGUAGGAGAGCUUUUGGUAGAAUAUGAGGAAUAUUACCGGAGGUGCAGUCGCGCAGGAAGGCAUGGCGCUAAAGAUGAUUAUUUUAAUUACUUUUUUAGCAGAGAAAUUACAAAUUGAUUUUCGGGUUAAAUAAAAAAUAACUGUAUGAUUAAUACAAGUUUGGUACUUACCAUCUUACAAGCUAAUCAGGAUCAAGAACAAAUCAAGAUGAUGGAAAGCUGGCAAUUUAGGCGUCCGCUAUUAGAGGUGCCGUGGGACAUCAGCGUAGUUGAUCUGUACAAAAGGCAGAUGUUGUU